UUUUGGGGAGGAAGUUGCUAUUUUGCCGCAGAAAGAUCCUGUUUUUUGUAGGCUAUGGUAUUUUUUGGAGAAAGUAUAACAUUUCUGGGGAGAAGAGUUAUUUCUCUCGCCAAAUACUACUCUCUCCCAGAGAUACGGAAGUUUCUGCACAAGAUGUUGUUUUCUCCAGGGAAUACAUUUCCUCCCGCAUAAUACCACUCUUGUUCCGAAAAUGCAGAACUUUCUCUUGAAAAAUACCGCUUUUCUCCCGAAAAGAUUUCAUUGUCUCCAAAAAAUACCAGCUUUCUUUGAAAGGUAUGACAUUUUCUCCACCAAGUAACAAUUUCUGCCCUAAAAUAUGGCGUUGUUUUUCCCCCAGAAUACCACUUUGCACCCUAAAAGAUGGCAUUUUACUCUUCGUCUUGUGUUCACACAGAGAUCACAACUGCUAGCGCUACUCAACGUGCCAGUCACCUCUUUGACGGAGAGUCUUCGUUCCUUCUCUCCUCCGUAACAGAAAGUCAGAGUGCAGCAAUGGAGAAAGAGAGAGAAACGAACUCUCUCCAAAUUAAGCGCCAGUGGCUCUGAAUGGUGGCUCCAGGAGAUGUGCUUUCGGCGAGAACGCAAGGUGAUGGCAAAAUCGCUCCUUUCCGCGCUGCGGAGAAAAGCCCCCUGUUCGGAGGAAAGCAGCCGGCUGAAGUCGCUCUCUGCCGGCUACCGAAUUGCCCGAAUGCGCGGCUGUCGGCAGCAAGCGGCAUUCGGGGACGCGACCGAACGCUUUGCCUAGCUGUUCUCCGCGACUGAGGAUUUCUGCCGAUAAGAGCGGACUCGGGCAGUUCCGUAGUUUCCUUUUGCAAGAGAAAAUUUUUCGUCUUUAGGAAAAAAGUAAUACUGUCGGGGAAAACAAUGUUGUCUUCCCGAGAAGACCGUAUUUUGGGAGAUCACAACUGCUAGCGCUACUCAACGUGCCAGUCACCUCUUUGACGGAGAGUCUUCGUUCCUUCUCUCCUCCGUAACAGAAAGUCAGAGUGCAGCAAUGGAGAAAGAGAGAGAAACGAACUCUCUCCAAAUUAAGCGCCAGUGGCUCUGAAUGGUGGCUCCAGGAGAUGUGCUUUCGGCGAGAACGCAAGGUGAUGGCAAAAUCGCUCCUUUCCGCGCUGCGGAGAAAAGCCCCCUGUUCGGAGGAAAGCAGCCGGCUGAAGUCGCUCUCUGCCGGCUACCGAAUUGCCCGAAUGCGCGGCUGUCGGCAGCAAGCGGCAUUCGGGGACGCGACCGAACGCUUUGCCUAGCUGUUCUCCGCGACUGAGGAUUUCUGCCGAUAAGAGCGGACUCGGGCAGUUCCGUAGUUUCCUUUUGCAAGAGAAAAUUUUUCGUCUUUAGGAAAAAAGUAAUACUGUCGGGGAAAACAAUGUUGUCUUCCCGAGAAGACCGUAUUUUGGGAGAUCACAACUGCUAGCGCUACUCAACGUGCCAGUCACCUCUUUGACGGAGAGUCUUCGUUCCUUCUCUCCUCCGUAACAGAAAGUCAGAGUGCAGCAAUGGAGAAAGAGAGAGAAACGAACUCUCUCCAAAUUAAGCGCCAGUGGCUCUGAAUGGUGGCUCCAGGAGAUGUGCUUUCGGCGAGAACGCAAGGUGAUGGCAAAAUCGCUCCUUUCCGCGCUGCGGAGAAAAGCCCCCUGUUCGGAGGAAAGCAGCCGGCUGAAGUCGCUCUCUGCCGGCUACCGAACUGCCCGAAUGCGCGGCUGUCGGCAGCAAGCGGCAUUCGGGGACGCGACCGAACGCUUUGCCUAGCUGUUCUCCGCGACUGAGGAUUUCUGCCGAUAAGAGCGGACUCGGGCAGUUCCGUAGUUUCCUUUUGCAAGAGAAAAUUUUUCGUCUUUAGGAAAAAAGUAAUACUGUCGGGGAAAACAAUGUUGUCUUCCCGAGAAGACCGUAUUUUGGGAGAUCACAACUGCUAGCGCUACUCAACGUGCCAGUCACCUCUUUGACGGAGAGUCUUCGUUCCUUCUCUCCUCCGUAACAGAAAGUCAGAGUGCAGCAAUGGAGAAAGAGAGAGAAACGAACUCUCUCCAAAUUAAGCGCCAGUGGCUCUGAAUGGUGGCUCCAGGAGAUGUGCUUUCGGCGAGAACGCAAGGUGAUGGCAAAAUCGCUCCUUUCCGCGCUGCGGAGAAAAGCCCCCUGUUCGGAGGAAAGCAGCCGGCUGAAGUCGCUCUCUGCCGGCUACCGAACUGCCCGAAUGCGCGGCUGUCGGCAGCAAGCGGCAUUCGGGGACGCGACCGAACGCUUUGCCUAGCUGUUCUCCGCGACUGAGGAUUUCUGCCGAUAAGAGCGGACUCGGGCAGUUCCGUAGUUUCCUUUUGCAAGAGAAAAUUUUUCGUCUUUAGGAAAAAAGUAAUACUGUCGGGGAAAACAAUGUUGUCUUCCCGAGAAGACCGUAUUUUGGGAGAUCACAACUGCUAGCGCUACUCAACGUGCCAGUCACCUCUUUGACGGAGAGUCUUCGUUCCUUCUCUCCUCCGUAACAGAAAGUCAGAGUGCAGCAAUGGAGAAAGAGAGAGAAACGAACUCUCUCCAAAUUAAGCGCCAGUGGCUCUGAAUGGUGGCUCCAGGAGAUGUGCUUUCGGCGAGAACGCAAGGUGAUGGCAAAAUCGCUCCUUUCCGCGCUGCGGAGAAAAGCCCCCUGUUCGGAGGAAAGCAGCCGGCUGAAGUCGCUCUCUGCCGGCUACCGAAUUGCCCGAAUGCGCGGCUGUCGGCAGCAAGCGGCAUUCGGGGACGCGACCGAACGCUUUGCCUAGCUGUUCUCCGCGACUGAGGAUUUCUGCCGAUAAGAGCGGACUCGGGCAGUUCCGUAGUUUCCUUUUGCAAGAGAAAAUUUUUCGUCUUUAGGAAAAAAGUAAUACUGUCGGGGAAAACAAUGUUGUCUUCCCGAGAAGACCGUAUUUUGGGAGAUCACAACUGCUAGCGCUACUCAACGUGCCAGUCACCUCUUUGACGGAGAGUCUUCGUUCCUUCUCUCCUCCGUAACAGAAAGUCAGAGUGCAGCAAUGGAGAAAGAGAGAGAAACGAACUCUCUCCAAAUUAAGCGCCAGUGGCUCUGAAUGGUGGCUCCAGGAGAUGUGCUUUCGGCGAGAACGCAAGGUGAUGGCAAAAUCGCUCCUUUCCGCGCUGCGGAGAAAAGCCCCCUGUUCGGAGGAAAGCAGCCGGCUGAAGUCGCUCUCUGCCGGCUACCGAACUGCCCGAAUGCGCGGCUGUCGGCAGCAAGCGGCAUUCGGGGACGCGACCGAACGCUUUGCCUAGCUGUUCUCCGCGACUGAGGAUUUCUGCCGAUAAGAGCGGACUCGGGCAGUUCCGUAGUUUCCUUUUGCAAGAGAAAAUUUUUCGUCUUUAGGAAAAAAGUAAUACUGUCGGGGAAAACAAUGUUGUCUUCCCGAGAAGACCGUAUUUUGGGAGAUCACAACUGCUAGCGCUACUCAACGUGCCAGUCACCUCUUUGACGGAGAGUCUUCGUUCCUUCUCUCCUCCGUAACAGAAAGUCAGAGUGCAGCAAUGGAGAAAGAGAGAGAAACGAACUCUCUCCAAAUUAAGCGCCAGUGGCUCUGAAUGGUGGCUCCAGGAGAUGUGCUUUCGGCGAGAACGCAAGGUGAUGGCAAAAUCGCUCCUUUCCGCGC